rnacentral:misc_RNA from 1 species
GACAGGAGGAGCGAGCGUUAUUCAGCUUGAUUGGGCGUAAAGGGUACGUAGGUGGUCAAUCAAAGUGAUUUGUGUGAAAUUCAAGGACGAGGUCUCGUUGGAGGGCAUUCACAAUUAAUUGACUAGAGUAGUGAGGACGUUGGCGAGAACUGCCCGAGGAGUGCUAAAAUACUAAGAUACGGGUAGGAAUACUGAAGGCGUAAGCAACUGUCGACUUACUAACUGACGCUGAGGUACGAAGGCGUGGGGAGCAAACGGG